rnacentral:lncRNA from 1 species
UUGAAAUGCAGUUCACUCACCGGUAUUGCUGAACCUCUAAUCGACUCUAACCUCCACUAAUGGUUCAAAUGGGCAAGUGAGGCCUUGUUGGAACCUAUACACGCAAAACAUCACAACCAAUCCAAUUUACAUUAAUAUCACUCCAAAAGCUAGUUUCUAAUUCAAAUUCUUCUAGUCAUUCCUAAUUAGCUUCCAACUAUAUCAAAUGGCUAUUCCUUGCACUACUCUAAUCAUACUAAAAAUGAAUAAACAACUCAAUAAUAAAAUAGCUCAUAAUCUCAAUUACUAGCCAUUAUCAACAACUUAAAACCAAGCCUAGUUCAUCAGUCACCUUAAGGUUUCUUUGUAGUUGAAUUCUCUUCCAAUAGCUUCCAAACAAUUGUGAAAAAUCUCUCUUUCUCUCUCUAAACCUCCAACUAGUGAGAGAAAGUGCUGAACAAGGACUUUUU